AGCAGCCGCGGUAAUUCCAGCUCCAAUAGCGUAUAUUAAAGUUGUUGCAGUUAAAAAGCUCGUAGUUGAAUUUCGGGAUCAAUAUUUCGGUCAUGCCGUUGGUAUGCACUGUUAUCAUUGAUUUCUCACCUUCUAAAGAACCGUAAUGCCAUUAAUUUGGUGUUACGGGGAAUUAGGACUGUUACCUUGAAAAAAUUAGAGUGUUUAAAGCAGGCUCACGCUUGAAUACAUUAGCAUGGAAUAAUGAAAUAGGACAUCCGAUUCUAUUUUGUUGGUUUCUAGGAUCGAUGUAAUGAUUAAUAGGGAUAGUUGGGGGCAUUAGUAUUCAAUUGUCAGAGGUGAAAUUCUUGGAUUUAUUGAAGACUAACUACUGCGAAAGCAUUUGCCAAGGAUGUUUUCAUUAAUCAAGAACGAAAGUUAGGGGAUCGAAGACGAUCAGAUACCGUCGUAGUCUUAACCAUAAACUAUGCCGACUAGGGAUCGGAUGAUGUUAAUUUUUUAAUGACUACA
rnacentral:rRNA from 1 species